GGAGCACUCGUUGAAUGAACAUGCGAGCGGAGCAGUAUUUCGUUGACUUUAUACACAUAUGUGUCAAGUUUGGAAUUAUUGCUGAGGAGCCACUCGUAUAUCGAACGGCCGAAAUUAUUGUCGGUCGACUAGAAAAUCGAUCGACCCAUAAGAAGACGACAAGCACCUCCUUGAGACGGUAACACAUCCAACGGAAAAGAAGACUCUUCGCGGAGUUCUAACGGUGUCCUCACAGUCGUGUUAUCUCCGUGUAAAAUAAAGAGAGUUCUUUUAUAUAAAACGAGUAAUACUUUAUGGGCGAGUGUGUGCCUGCAUGAGUAUUGAAAAGUAUUCAUCCGCAACAAUAUUAUACAUACACACACAUCUAUAUGUAAUUCUGUAUUAUAUAAUAUCUGCCAAGCUAAUAGAUAGUGUGCUGCUAUUUAAUUUAGAUAAGAUGUGUUUUAAUACGAAUGAUACUCUUAGAGAAACUUACUCGAAAAAGAUUAAAGCUCUAGCAACAUACAGUAACCGCUAUUAGAAAAAAACUGACCUUUGAAAAUUGGAUAUUAAAAAUACGGCGAACAGAAAAAUAAUAUUACAUAUCAACUAGCGCACUUGUCGCAAACUUGUCAUAAUUAUACUUCUAACAUAUCCAAUUAUCAUAAUUUUUUUUCUCAUAUUAAUUUCGUCAGUAACAAGCUCUAGAAAGCUAUUAUAUUGUAUAUGUGACAUAUAUACGGGCGGAGCAACAUUUCGUCGACUUUACACACAUAUGUAAAGUGUUUGGAAUUAUUAUUAUUAUUAUUACAGUAAGUAGAACUAUAAAUUUUUAUUCUUUUACUUUACUCUUUUGUUUUGAAUUCUCUUCUAUCUUGAUGAAUGAUUUGAAAUGCAUAUUUAAGUGACGAUUAAGAGUUUCUUCUGUACAACAAAAUGUGAACAAGUUCAAGUAUAUGAAUAUCAUCUUGCUUAAUUAUAUUACUAUUCGCUUUAAUUAUUGUGAUGUGCUAUACACUGUUAUUUGAUGGAUUGUUGCACCUUAAGUGCAUGAACUAAGUAUUGAUAAAAUAAAUGUUUUUUAUAACUCA